CCAAACUCCUACGGGAGGCAGCAGUAGGGAAUCUUCCACAAUGGGCGAAAGCCUGAUGGAGCAACGCCGCGUGGGUGAAGAAGGUCUUCGGAUCGUAAAACCCUGUUGUUAGAGAAGAAAGUGCGUGAGAGUAACUGUUCACGUUUCGACGGUAUCUAACCAGAAAGCCACGGCUAACUACGUGCCAGCAGCCGCGGUAAUACGUAGGUGGCAAGCGUUAUCCGGAUUUAUUGGGCGUAAAGAGAACGCAGGCGGUCUUUUAAGUCUGAUGUGAAAGCCUUCGGCUUAACCGGAGUAGUGCAUUGGAAACUGGGAGACUUGAGUGCAGAAGAGGAGAGUGGAACUCCAUGUGUAGCGGUGAAAUGCGUAGAUAUAUGGAAGAACACCAGUGGCGAAAGCGGCUCUCUGGUCUGUAACUGACGCUGAGGUUCGAAAGCGUGGGUAGCAAACAGGAUUAGAUACCCUGGUAGUCCACGCCGUAAACGAU
rnacentral:rRNA from 1 species